UACGUAGGGCGCAAGCGUUGUCCGGAAUUAUUGGGCGUAAGGGGCUCGUAGGCGGUUUGUCGCGUCGGGGGUGAAAACCUUGGGCUUAACUCAGGGCUUGCUUUCGAUACGGGCAGACUAGAGGUAUGCAGGGGAGAACGGAAUUCCUGGUGUAGCGGUGAAAUGCGCAGAUAUCAGGAGGAACACCGGUGGCGAAGGCGGUUCUCUGGGCAUGAUCUGACGCUGAGGUGCGAAAGCGUGGGGAGCAAACGGG
rnacentral:rRNA from 1 species